UGUGUUUGCGUGGAUAUGUAUAUGUGUCUGUGUAUGCUAUCAGAGAAGACCCGGUGAGCUACCUCGAGCGAACAGAAAAGCAAACAGAGCCAACGUCUCGGCAAUUAAUUUUCACUUUGAACGCCAAAGAGUCGUCACAAGGUGUAAAGCACGUGAUUGCAGUCAGGCCAAUUCUAUAAUUAUCCUGGACAUUGACAAUAGGCGGUCAAUCAUUGCUUCAAAAAUUAAUUAUUACUUAGCGAGUCUGUUAUACAAGAGUGUUAGUAGCGCUGUUAACGUGUAUCAAUUAAGACGUUAAGUUGUAUCUAAUUUCUUCUGCCAAUAAACUGUUUAAACGAU